rnacentral:lncRNA from 7 species
GAAUACCGAUUUCCCAUGAAACAGGUUCCCUUCUCAAGGUUGACUAUAGCUGCCAAUUCCUGUCUACCUUCUUAAUGCUUCAGUGGGAAGAGCAGCUGGUAGUUUGAAGUUAAAAUGUGCAUUUUUCUUAAAAAAAAGAAAAAAAAAAAGACUUAACAAUGGAUAGGAGGAAAAUGCAUUUAUAAUCUUUUAUGAUAUUGUGUCAAAGAAUGAUGCUUAUUGCACUGCUCCUGAGCUUCAAGCAACAUGUUAAGAUUUUCCUUCACUAGAAUGUUAAUGCAUGUGAAAAUCUAAAGUCAGUGUGUGGAAAGAACAAAUGCAAUGUUGAAGUUGUGUGUUCAGACGUGCACUUUGCAGCUCCUUCUGCCUUCCACUGACUCCUUCCAGCAAACUGAAAACUUGACACAACUGUGCUUGUAUGGAGAUGCAGUCCUGGUGCCACAGGGAGAGGAAUGGGAACAACGAUGACCAGCACAACCACACCUGCAUCCAACUGGAAGGAUCUGGGUGCAAGUGGGGUUUACGGCAGCUACGCGAGGCAUUUCCAUGGCACGCAGGAGCUGAGUAUUUUGCUGAAAAUGGAUGUGGAAAAUCUCCCCUGAAAUGCAGUGUGUGAACACGAGGUGGCACUUGGGUCUCGUGGAUGGAGGAACAGACAGCCCAGAACCACUUCCUGCGCAAAAGGAGAGAAUUUUAUUGAUGAGCUGAAAAAAAAUGCUGUUGG